ACUAUAUACAGGGUCAGUACCAUAUUAUAAUGUACAGGGAUACUGGAUCUAUAGAGGUAGAUAUGUAUAGAGGUAAACAUACUAUAUACAGGGUCAGUUCCAGUACCAUAUUAUAAUGUACAGGGAUACUGGCUCUAUAGAGGUAGAUAUGUAUAGGGGUAAACAUACUAUAUACAGGGUCAGUUCCAGUCCAUAUUAUAAUGUACAGGGAUACUGGAUCUAUAGAGGUAGAUAUGUAUAGUGGUAAACAUACUAUAUACAGGGUCAGUACCAUAUUAUAAUGUACAGGGAUACUGGAUCUAUAGAGGUAGAUAUGUAUAGUGGUAAACAUACUAUAUACAGGGUCAGUUCCAGUACCAUAUUAUAAUGUACAGGGAUACUGGAUCUAUAGAGGUAGAUAUGUAUAGGGGUAAACAUACUAUAUACAGGGUCAGUACCAUAUUAUAAUGUACAGGGAUACUGGAUCUAUAGAGGUAGAUAUGUAUAGGGGUAAACAUACUAUAUACAGGGUCAGUACCAUAUUAUAAUGUACAGGGAUACUGGAUCUAUAGAGGUAGAU
rnacentral:lncRNA from 1 species